rnacentral:rRNA from 1 species
UCGAGAAUCUUCCACAAUGGACGAAAGUCUGAUGGAGCGACGCCGCGUGGUUGAUGAAGUCCUUAGGGACGUAAAAACCUUUUAUGAGGGAGGAAGUAAUUGACGUUACCUCAUGAAUAAGGGGCUCCUAACUCUGUGCCAGCAGGAGCGGUAAGACAGAGGCCCCAAGCAUUACCCGGAAUCACUGGGCGUAAAGGGUGUGUAGGUGGUCGUGUUAGUCUUUUGUUAAACCACCGGGCUCAACCCGGGACAGGCAAAAGAAACGGCACGACUUAGAGGAUGUAAGAGGCAUACGGAACUCAUGGUGUAGGGGUGAAAUCCGUUGAUAUCAUGGGGAACACCAAAAGCGAAGGCAGUAUGCUGGUGCAUUCCUGACACUGAGACACGAAAGCGUGGGUAGCGAAUGGG